AUACUUACCUUGAGGGACCAUUUGAAGCUCCUGAAUUUCGAAUGGUAGGACAGAACACCUGCAUUGCACAGCGCGGAGUUGACUGUCCUGUAUUAUCCUUCGGGAUCGUACUCCUCGCAAUUUUUGAUGUCAUACAACUUUUUGUUUUCAUUGUGUG
rnacentral:snRNA from 13 species